AUUUUCACCCGAGCCAGACAAAAUGAUGUUGCGUCUCGCUCCGUUCCUCACGGCAGUCCGGCCACGACCACCUGCAGAGGACGUGUGUCUCGCGCCCCCCCCAUCCGCGGUUGUCGUCUCGCGCCGCGUCGUCAGCGUUAUUAUUGCGCAAGUGUUCUGGUGUGAGUGUUUUUUUGUGAAGGAGGAGAUGGAAGGAGAGGAAGUAGAAGAUGUGUUCAACUGAGGGUGUGUUCUUGGAAAAGAUAAAAAUAAAGUUGCGGCCGGUUUGCCGCAGAACCGGAGCUCCGUGUUGUUGUUUUGUCAUUAACACAAAGUACAGGCGCACCAUAAACGCUCGGCUACACUCACAAUAGUCCGUGAAGACAUUCUUGAUGAAUAACAAACACUGUGUGUUCUCAUGUGCAUGUUGUUGAACAUGUAUCAUGCACUGUUGGUAAUAUUCUCUUUCUCCCAAAUGCCUCACGAGAGCUGUAGGAUAUUAGAAACAAAUAUACGACCCGGUUCAUAAAAUAAAAAUGCAUAUAGUGUACACCAGAAUACAGCCAUGAUUCUGAAACUGUGUAAUCCAUAAAGUAAUGACAAUAUUGUAAAACCACUGUAAAUCUGCAACUGUAAUAGAAUAAUACCAAUGUACAGUUAUGAUUGUAUUUGAUGUAAUGUAAUCAACUGGAAUGCAUGCAUGUAAAACAACAACUGAUAUUGACUAAGGAUCAUCCGAAAUCCGAGCUACAUUGAACUCACCAGAAGACCACUCCCAGAGGUGUGGACACUGACUUUCACACCUUUAAGCAUUGGUAUAAAUACCUGUAGCAACGAUUGUUCUCGAGUUCGCUGGUGGAGGCGACAGACGGGCACUAGGGAUGGUCAAAGGACUGACCUGGGGCCUGUUGGUCGCUGAGACCAGCGGCUCCUCAGCUGAGAUGUUCUUUUUACCACAACGCCAUCUCCUUUAUUAAAUACAUUUGAUUUGAACCUUUCGAUCAGCGAUGACCUCUGUCCGUCCGGCGUUUCUUCAUUUUUGAACACAACAGAGCCCAUCACCAAAGAGCCCGCUGUCACUUUCAUUAUCCUGCGCACUUUGGCUCCUUUAGCCGUGUUUACGGACAUGGAGCGACCUUGGCAGCGAUUGACCCCUUUGUGGCUUUGAAGAUGACUGACUGACUUUCUGACCUUUGGUCAUGAUGCUAACGAGCUCAGCUAACUAACGUUAGCUUGAAUGCUGACAUGGAAAUGGGGAAUUUCCCUGGUUUAACUUUUAAGAACGUUUCACAACUUGUGUGCAAGCGUUAUUUAACAGAGAGUUAUGUUAUACACUACAACAAAAAACAGUUACUUACCAAAUAACGAAUUUUCACCCGAGCCAGACAAAAUGAUGUUGCGUCUCGCUCCGUUCCUCACGGCAGUCCGGCCACGACCACCUGCAGAGGACGUGUGUCUCGCGCCCCCCCCAUCCGCGGUUGUCGUCUCGCGCCGCGUCGUCAGCGUUAUUAUUGCGCAAGUGUUCUGGUGUGAGUGUUUUUUUGUGAAGGAGGAGAUGGAAGGAGAGGAAGUAGAAGAUGUGUUCAACUGAGGGUGUGUUCUUGGAAAAGAUAAAAAUAAAGUCGGAGCUCCGUGUUGUUGUUUUGUCAUUAACACAAAGUACAGGCGCACCAUAAACGCUCGGCUACACUCACAAUAGUCCGUGAAGACAUUCUUGAUGAAUAACAAACACUGUGUGUUCUCAUGUGCAUGUUGUUGAACAUGUAUCAUGCACUGUUGGUAAUAUUCUCUUUCUCCCAAAUGCCUAAUGAGAGCCCAUCACCAGAGAGCCCACCGUCACUUUCAUUAUCGUUAGCUAACAUUUACUAAAGCUGCGCACUUUGGCUCCUUUAGCCGUGUUAACGGACAGGGAGCGACGUUGGCAGCGAUUGACC
ensembl:lncRNA